AGGAGCUGCCUGGCUUGGACAUCAAGCCCUGGGCUGGGAAGUCUUGUCAGAGAUCAUGAGUCAUCUAUGUACUUUAUAGGGAACUGGGCUUUGCGAUCCCAAAUCACCCAUGUGGUGUAAACAGUGAAGCUAAAGGCAGGGAUGCUGGGGUGUUAGGGAGGCUGGCUGGGCGAGCAGAGCAGAAUGCUGAGUCAGUGGAUGGUGGCUGAUUUUGAUGAGUGUUGCGAAUUACUGGUUUGGCGCAGAACAUGAAAUGGCUUUGUACCAAAUCACUGGUGAGGAAAGAAAAACAAAACAACCAGGGCUGGCACCAACAGAGACCCCAACUGGCUUAGAGAGAACGACAGUGUCUGCGAGCUGCUGCUCAGAGCCUGGAGGUCUUGUGGAGUGUCACCAAGGCUUCUUGAGGACCGUGGAGCUGAUGGGCUUUUCCUCAAGGGGGGGGGGUGAUGGUUGUUCUUGUGGCUCAGUUACUACUGCCCUGUCCACCCCGGCGGAUACAGCUCGUUUCUCAGAUGGGACAACAGAAGCGAGAGGUCUGUGGGGUUGUGUGAUCAUGAGCGUGUAAGGGAAUUGGAGUGAAGGUAUUUUCCCCGAUUAUUCUGGAAGGACAGACCUGACUGAUGGUGGCUGGAAGCUGCACUUUGCGUGCAGGCUGAUGUGGAAGGAAGAGAAGCGGCUGGAAAACUCUGCAAACUGAUUAUUAAUUCAGAAGGAGCUCAGGUUGAUCUUUGGAAACUGACCGUUGACCACUGUCUUGCAUUUACCUGGGUUAUUGCACUGCUGCUUUAUGGAUCUGUAAGAAGUCAAGGGGAGAAGGAUGAACAGACCUCUGCAGUUAGAAAUUAUUUAUACUAGAAAAUCUCACGAAGCACUUUGCGAUUCAAGCAGAUGAUGCGAUUCCUGAUCCCCAUCUGUGCCUGGAGACCCGUUUCAGUAGACUGUGACACUUCAGCGACCUGCAAAUUCUACACGUUAGAGUUCAUAUUUUACACAAACUCCGUACACCCAAGAGGUGGACUCGCAUUCCUACCAGCAACAUCCGCCUUCCAACAGAAGAUACGGGUCCUACAGAAGGCAAAAGCUGUUGGGGAAGAUGUACUACAAAUGGCCACAUCUGUGCCCUGUGUCACUGCAAUUCCAUUUCAAAGGGAUGGAGUAGGAGAAGAAAGGAACUUGGGGACUACGGGAUUAAGCCUUGAAAAUGGCUGGGCACCUUUGAUGCGUGGUGUCCUACCAAGCACAGACUUUCUUUACUCUGUGUGCGAUUGCCGGUGACAUUUGCUGCUCUGCAGCUCACGGCUCCUUGGCAGAGGCUUUGGAGAAGGCCACUUCAGCAAGGGGAACAGCUGGCAAUCACAAGGCAGGGUGGGCGGGUUCAGACCGGCCACGGUCUCAGGGUAUGUGGCAAUCAUCUUUCUUCUGCAGCUGAGCUGGAAAUUAGAGGCUGUAUUCAGCCCCAUGUGGGAGAAAGGGAAUUUUUACUAGAGGGCAUGGCCUUUUGAGUCAGGGGGAGAAAGCAUCUUCUGCCUGCUGGGGCAGGGAACAGAGGUGAGUCAGAACAGCUUGUGGAGAGUGGUAUUCCCCACUGGGGGUCACAGGGCCACUUGUAAAAUGAUGCCUAGGUGUUGCUGUACAGCCAAGGUCCUCAACUUUGGCUGCAUAUUGAAAUCAUGUGGGGAGCUUUUAUAGUCCUGCUGCCCUGGCCCCACCUCUGAUCACUGUAUUAGACUCUCUGGGGUGGGUGACACUCAGGCUGAGGUAGUUUUUUUUUUUCCGGUACCGGAAAUCGAACUCAUGACCUCGCUCUUGCCAGGCAGGCGCUGUGCCGCUGAGCUAAAUCCCCAGCCCCCGGCUGAGGAGGUUUUUAAGGGCCCCCACGUAAUUCCAGUGGGCACCCGAGCUUCAGAUCCACUGAUCUAGGCCCUCAUUCAUCAGUGUAGUCUGAAGCCCAGCAGUACCAUAUCACCCAGCAAUUGUUAGACCCACAGAGUCUCAGGCCCCACCCAAGAUCUUCUGUGUCAGUUUCUAGCAAGAUCCAUGAGAAAUUUGAUGUACAUUAAAGUGUGAGGAGCUAUAGUUUUCAAAUUUUGCUGCACAUUAAAAAUCACCUGGAGAACUUUAAAAACUCGCACUGCCCAGACCACACCUAAUACCAAUUAAUCAGAAUUUCCAAGUGUGGGACACAAGCACCGGUAGGUUUUUACAGGUGAUUCCAGUGUGCAUGGAUUUUCAGCACUGGCUAUGAAUUAGAAUCACCUUGGGAACUUUUAAAUGCCUUGAUACCUGAACUCCACUUAGAGAUUUUGAUUUAAUUGGUCUGGGAGAGGCAGCAAAAAGAUUCCUAGGUAUUCAAAUGUGCAGGCAGCUGGAACUCCUGUUUCAGAAAGUUGGUUCAGUAUCACUGAAAGCAAAACCAACUGACAAACCUUAAACAGGUCCAUGGGGCCAAGGACAAACAGCUGAAGUAGCAACCGGACCAUCGCUGGACCUUACCUGGUCUCAGGGCUUUGAUAGUCAACCUCCUUACAUGGGAUUCCUACUAUUCUUUUGUUCUGCAUAUGGAUUCAAAUGUUUGUAUGUUCCUUUGGUUUUCUAAUAAAGUUCCUCUUGAAAAACUUAAUGUCACAGCAGCUGACUUAAAGGACAAAAUCCCUGGUUUCCACCUAGGCCAU
ensembl:lincRNA uncharacterized LOC102020490